rnacentral:rRNA from 1 species
AACAAACGCUGGCGGCGUGCCUAAUACAUGCAAGUCGAACGGGGAAAGCUUUCGGGUGAGUACUAGUGGCGCACGGGUGAGGAACGCGUGGAUAAUCUGCCUUAGAGUGGGGGAUAACUAGUCGAAAGAUUAGCUAAUACCGCAUAAGACCACGAGAGCUGCGGCUUUUGAGGUCAAAGGUUUUUCGCUCUAAGAUGAGUCCGCGUAAGAUUAGCUAGUUGGUGGGGUAACGGCUCACCAAGGCGACGAUCUUUAACUGGUCUGAGAGGAUGAUCAGUCACACUGGAACUGAGACACGGUCCAGACUCCUACGGGAGGCAGCAGUAGGGAAUAUUGCACAAUGGAGGAAACUCUGAUGCAGCGACGCCGCGUGAGUGAUGAAGGCCUUCGGGUCGUAAAGCUCUGUCGCAGGGGAAUAACACAAUGAAGGUACCCUGUAAGAAAGGAUCGGCUAACUUCGUG